UCCCUGGUGGCUCAGACGGUAAAGUGUCUGCCUACAAUGCGGGAGUCCUGGGUUCGACCCUGGUUAGGGAA
rnacentral:tRNA from 1 species